AUUGAACGCUGGCGGCAGGCCUAACACAUGCAAGUCGAACGGUAACAGGAAGCAGCUUGCUGCUUCGCUGACGAGUGGCGGACGGGUGAGUAAUGUCUGGGAAGCUGCCUGAUGGAGGGGGAUAACUACUGGAAACGGUAGCUAAUACCGCAUAAUGUCGCAAGACCAAAGAGGGGGACCUUCGGGCCUCUUGCCAUCGGAUGUGCCCAGAUGGGAUUAGCUUGUUGGUGGGGUAACGGCUCACCAAGGCGACGAUCCCUAGCUGGUCUGAGAGGAUGACCAGCCACACUAGAACUGAGACACGGUCCAGACUCCUACGGGAGGCAGCAGUGGGGAAUAUUGCACAAUGGGCGCAAGCCUGAUGCAGCCAUGCCGCGUGUAUGAAGAAGGCCUUCGGGUUGUAAAGUACUUUCAGCGGGGAGGAAGGGAGUAAAGUUAAUACCUUUGCUCAUUGACGUUACCCGCAGAAGAAGCACCGGCUAACUCCGUG
rnacentral:rRNA from 1 species